rnacentral:rRNA from 1 species
GCUUACGGCCACACCACCCUGAGCCGCCCGAUCUCGUCUGAUCUCGGAAGCUAAGCAGGGUCGGGCCUGGUUAGUACUUGGAUGGGAGACCGCCUGGGAAUACCAGGUGCCGUAAGCU